rnacentral:tRNA from 8 species
GCUACGGACUUGAAAAUCCGUUGGCUUUAUUGACCGUGAGGGUUCAAGUCCCUCUACCCCCA